rnacentral:misc_RNA from 1 species
AGAGAGAGAGAGAGAGAGAUUCAAAAAGGCAUCUCUGGCUACUACAUUGCUUCUAAACAACAAUUUCAUAAUCAUAUAUAUAUUUUUUUAAUGUUGCAUCGUAUUACUAAAUUACAAAUAAAGUGGGAGUGCAAACUAUAAAUGCUGCAUAAGGGGGAAAAAAGGGUUAUCAGAGAAAUCAGUCACAACCCCCAUUAAGGAUAACAUGAAAAGCCAGUGUUUCAAAAUGUAUCAUUAGGAUUGCAGAUAGUAUUUUCCAGAUUAUCUUGUUUUCUGCAGCAAUUAGAAUUAACAUUAAAAAAAUGACCCCACACAGAAUGAAGAAGGAUAAAUUGGUAAUGUCAAGUUUAAUAACUGUUACAGGAAACUAAAAUUUUGUGAGUUGCUGUGUACUAUUGCUCAAACCUGCAAAAGUUGACGCCUAAUUA